rnacentral:misc_RNA from 1 species
UUUCCGUAGGUCGCUAGAGUUCAGCCUACCAAAGCAAACCUUUCAAAACUGCUAGUCUCUCCCCGAGGCGACACGCUCAAUGUUGCGGAGAGGCCCUCUUUUCAGAGGGUAAUCCGCAGCCGGCCCCCUAAAGACUGGUUCAGAGACUCAAUGAGUGUGGGUUUGGCCUUUUGGCCAGGCUUAAGAUAGAGCCCGUCCCUGUAGGCAACUGCGGGGGAUGAACGGAACCUGCGGAAGGAUCAUUAAAGAAUCGGUGACCCUCGCGGUCCCAUUCUCACCCUUUGUAUACCAAACUUCAGUUGCUUUGGCUGGCCUUCGCGGGCCGGCCAGAGGACUCAAACCCUUGAAUCUUUGCUGUCUGAGUACUAUAUAAUAGUUAAAACUUUCAACAACGGAUCUCUUGGUUCUG